rnacentral:rRNA from 1 species
AUUGAACGCUGGCGGCAGGCCUAACACAUGCAAGUCGAACGAGUGGCGGACGGGUGAGUAAUGUCUGGGAAACUGCCUGAUGGAGGGGGAUAACUACUGGAAACGGUAGCUAAUACCGCAUACCAUCAGAUGUGCCCAGAUGGGAUUAGCUUGUUGGGGGGGUAACGGCUCACCAAGGCGACGAUCCCUAGCUGGUGUGAGAGGAUGAACAGCAACACUGGAACUGAGACACGGUCCAGACGCCUACGGGAGGUAGCAGUGGGGAAUAGUGGACAAUGGGCGAAAGCCUGAUGCAGCCAGACCGCGUGUAUGAAGAAGGCCUUCGGGUUGUAAAGUACUUCCAGCGGGGAGGCGUUACCCGCAGAAGAAGCACCGGCUAACUCCGUGCCAGCAGCCGCGGUAAUUC